ACCUCUCCGGCACCUAGACGGGCUGGCUUGCCACUGCCACUUAGCUCUGUGUCAGGCUGUGUUUUCGCUGUGUCGUUUGCCAUGGAAAUUUCUGGCUGUGUGUCUCUGGCUUGCUGGAGGAGUUAGAGCCCUGUGGCUUGUUUUAUUUUUCACUCCAUAAUGAAAAAAGAUCCUUGCUGGGGGAACUCAGUGAUUCAGUAUAUGGGUAAUGUGAUGUGGAGCUUUCCAACUGUGUUGCCUGGAGUACCCAGCUAGGACACAGGAGACCUGGUUUUAUGCCUCAUUUUGCUAUGGUUCCUGCUAAUGUAGGCUGAGGCACACUGGCUGAGCACCAAGCGGGAAGUCUGCAUCGCCAGUGCACAUGCUGUGGAUAGGGGCCAACACAGUUGAAGCAGCUUCUUUCAUCAGUGCUGAAAUCGGUGUUUGAGUUGGAUUUAAUUUUGCAGUUUCCUUGAUUCCCUCUGUUAUUCAAGCUUUGUUCAGGAUUCCUGCUGGAACUUCGCUGUUACGGAUUUCACUAACUGUGUUGAAAAGUGAGGAGAAGGAAGCCCAGGUAAGUGUCCCACUCAUUU